GGAGCCAGCAAGUGUCCUUGGCCGAGAGGCCUGGGGAAGCUCGUGAAACUCCGUCGUGCUGGGGAUAGAGCAUUGUAAUUUUUGCUCUUCAACGAGGAAUUCCUAGUAAGCGCAAGUCAUUAACUUGCGUUGAUUACGUCCCUGCCCUUUGUACACACCGCCCGUCGUUACUAUCGAUGAAUGGCCAAGUGAGCCCUCAAGACGGCCACUGCACGGGGGGCGACCUCUGCGCGGCGGCUGAAAUCUGUGCAAACUUGGUCAUUUAGAGAAAGUACAAGUCGUAACAAGGUUACUGUAGGUGAACCUGCAGUAGGAUCAUUA
rnacentral:rRNA from 1 species